rnacentral:rRNA from 1 species
UCGUCCUAAACAGGCGUAAAGGGUAUGUAGGCUGCUUUAAAAGUUCUAUUUAUUAAAAUUAAAUCCAUAGCUCUAUUCGUGAUCAACCUUUUUUAAAGGUCGAAUAGAAUAAAUAAACGAUUAAAAGCUAGAAUCAUAUGGAAGAUAAGCCAAAUAAUACUUAGAGUAGGGGUUAAAUCUGCAAAUACUAAGGGGAAUACUAACGGUGUAAACUUUUAUCUACUAAUGAUUGACGCUGAGAAACGAAGGUGAGAACAGGAAAUAGGAUUAGAGACCCAGAUACCUCUCACUGUAAACGAUGAAUGGUGGUUGUUAGUAAUAGAAAAACUAGUAGCGAUGUUAACACGAUAACCAUUCCGCCUUGCGAGUACGGUUGCAAAACUGAA